GAUGAAGAACGCAGCGAAAUGCGAUAAGUAAUGUGAAUUGCAGAAUUCAGUGAAUCAUCGAAUCUUUGAACGCACAUUGCGCCCCUUGGUAUUCCGGGGGGCAUGCCUGUCCGAGCGUCAUUGCCGCCCUCAAGCACGGCUUGUGUGUUGGGCCCCCGCCCCCCGGCUUCGGGGGGCGGGCCCGAAAGGCAGCGGCGGCACCGCGUCCGGUCCUCGAGCGUAUGGGGCUUCGUCACCCGCUCUGUAGGCCCGGCCGGCGCCCGCCGGCGACCCCAAUCAAUCUUUCCAGGUUGACCUCGGAUCAGGUAGGGAUACCCGCUGAACUUAAGCAUAUCAAUAAGCGGAGGA
rnacentral:misc_RNA from 1 species